CUUUGAAGAUAUUUCCAUGACCGAAUAUGAUGUGGGGGAAAUUAACGAAAUGGUUCAAAAUUGGUGAUUUUAUUAUUCUACUAUUUUUGUACAACUCAUGUAUUAUUUGCAAUUAAAAAAAACUACAACUUGCAAAUAAAUGUUAUCCAAGAAUGAAUAAAAUAUAUGGCUCAUUGAGCUUUCUUCUA